CCUAAAUGAAUACCCUUUAUUUCUUUUCCUUGCGUGAUUGCUCUGGCUAGAACUUCCAAUACUAUAUUGAAUAGGAGUGGUGAGAGAGGGUAUCCUUGUCUAAUUCCAGAUUUCGAAGGGAAUGCUUCCGGUUUUUGCCCAUUCAGUAUGAUAUUGGCUGUGGGUUUGUCAUAAAUAGCUUUUAUUAUUUUGAGAUAUGUUCCAUUAAUACCUAGUUUGUCAAGAGUUUUUAGCGUAAAGAGCUGUUGAAUAUUGUCAAAGGCCUUUUCUGCAUCUAUUGAAAUAAUCAUGUGGUUUUUGUCAUUGGUUCUGUUUAUG